AUAUUCCUUUGGGGCAGGGUGUAAUUCCCGACCGACGGUGAUAAAAGCAUAGUAGCUUUUUUAGUCCGUGACCCGGAUCAUUUGUUAAAUGUGAAGGUGGAUUUGGUGUGAAUCCAAAGCCGACAGUGAAAGUCUGGAUGGGAAAAGGAAUUG
rfam:Gracilibacillus kekensis strain CGMCC 1.10681 genome assembly, contig: Ga0079828_107